GAUGAACGCUGGCGGCGUGCCUAAUACAUGCAAGUCGAGCAAACAGACGAGGAGCUUGCUCCUCUGACGUUAGCGGCGGACGGGUGAGUAACACGUGGAUAACCUACCUAUAAGACUGGGAUAACUUCGGGAAAACGGAGCUAAUACCGGAUAAUAUAUUGAACCGCAUGGUUCAAUAGUGAAAGACGGUUUUGCUGUCACUUAUAGAUGGAUCCGCGCCGCAUUAGCUAGUUGGUAAGGUAACGGCUUACCAAGGCAACGAUGCGUAGCCGACCUGAGAGGGUGAUCGGCCACACUGGAACUGAGACACGGUCCAGACUCCUACGGGAGGCAGCAGUAGGGAAUCUUCCGCAAUGGGCGAAAGCCUGACGGAGCAACGCCGCGUGAGUGAUGAAGGUCUUCGGAUCGUAAAACUCUGUUAUUAGGGAAGAACAAAUGUGUAAGUAACUAUGCACGUCUUGACGGUACCUAAUCAGAAAGCCACGGCUAACUACGUG
rnacentral:rRNA from 1 species